UUCCUGGUGGCCCAAUGGUUAGGGCUCCAUACUUCCACCGUAGGGGAUGCAGGUUCAAUCCCUGGUCAGGGAA
rnacentral:tRNA from 1 species